CUAAUUGUUGGUUUUAACAAAAUGGAUUCCACCGAGCCACCCUACAGCCAGAAGAGAUAUGAGGAAAUCGUUAAGGAAGUCAGCACCUACGUUACGAAAAUUGGCUACAACCCCGACACAGUAGCAUUUGUGCCAAUUUCUGGUUGGAACGGUGACAACAUGCUGGAGCCAAGUGCUAACCUGCCUUGGUUCAAGGGAUGGAAAGUCACCCGUAAAGAUGGGAAUGCCAGUGGAACCACACUGCGUGAAGCUCUGGAUUGCAUCCUGCCACCAACUCGUCCAACUGACAAGCCCUUGCGUCUGCCUCUCCAGGACGUCUACAAAAUUGGUGGUAUUGGUACUGUCCCUGUGGGCCGAGUCGAGACUGGUGUUCUUAAACCUGGCAUGGUGGUCACCUUUGCUCCAGUCAAUGUUACAACUGAAGUAAAGUCUGUUGAAAUGCACCAUGAAGCUUUGAGUGAAGCUCUUCCUCGGGACAAUGUGGGCUUCAAUGUCAAGAACAUAUCUGUCAAAGAUGUUCAUUGUGGCAAUGUGGCUGGUGACAGUAAAAAUGACCCACUAAUGGAAGCAACUGGCUUCAUGGCUCGGGUGAUUAUCCUGAACCAUCCAGGCCAAAUCAGUGCUGAUAUGCACCUGUGCUGGAUUGUCACACAGCUCACAUUGCUUGCAAGUUUGCUGAGCUGAAGGAAAUUGAUCGUCAUUCUGGAAAAAAGCUGGAAGAUGGCCCCACAUUCUUGAAAUCUGGUGAUGCUGCUUUCAUUGAGAUAGCUUCUGGCAAGCCUAUCUGUAUCCAGAGCCAUUUUGCUGUUUGUGACAUGAGACAGACAGUUUCUUUGGAUGUCAUCAGAGCAAUGGACAAGAAAGCAGCUGGAGCUGGCAAGGUCACCAGGUCUGCCCAGAAAGUUCAGAAGGCUAAAUGA